rnacentral:lncRNA from 1 species
UUUGUAGGAUGUCAUUGAUUGCAUGCCAGUUUUGGUUUUCCAGUUUUGAUUUUCAGGAACUUCUAGGUGGAGUUCUAGGCACAAGUUAAGCCGGUCAAAGUGCUGAGCUGCUUAUGGAUUAUAUUCAGCUAGGAUAUGUAUAAUGUGUUUCUAUUGUGAUGCCUUUAAUGUCACAUUCUGGACUUUCAUUAUAUAAAUGUAAUAUUAUUCAUAAAUAUGAAUGCAGAAGAUGUCUAUAUAUAU